AUUAACCUGAAGGCUUGGAAAAUAGCUCCGACGCCCUGCAUGAGCUCAGCUGUGUAAUGAGUUGCAGAAAAGCUGCCCUGCCCAGGUGGACAAGGGCUGCAUUCUGCAGUGCAGAGUUACCCCUAUUUCACUUCUCACGGGCUGCUCAGCAGCAGGGCUAGCACAUUCAACCUUCAGGCAAGGAACUAAUUAAUUAAGCAAUAAAUUGAGCCAGUUUUGUCACUGCUGACAUCCAGACUGGGUUGGGAGCACCCCUGCAUAACCCAGUCUCCUCCAUCUGGACCUAUUUCCCAUCUCCCUUCCUCUGUAACUUGUUCUAGCAGAAAUGCUAGUCACAACUUGGAGCAGUGAUGGACACCUGGUAGGAAGGCAGGGCCAGCCCAGGGGAACUCAGGUGUGUGCAAUGAACCUGAGUGACCAGAAGGGCUGGAGCCAGGAUCCACCCCUUUCCAGACCUCAUUUAAGGGUUGGCAGUGGAAGUAAAGGUGUUCCUCUAAUGAUUUUUGUGUGUCUGGGUGUCUUCUGAAGGAUGUUGUUCAGAUGCACUUUUGUAUCGCUUUAGAUUCUCUUCUUUGGAAAGUCCCUGUGGAAGUGUCAGCUGAAAUGAAUAACAACCGGAAACAAUAAAAAGGAGAAAGAUAAAAUCAGGAAGAGUAAGCUCUGUUUAUAGAUGUGAACAGCUUUUCCAGUAAACCACCAAAUAAAGAAUUUCUUCGAACUUGGAAAGUCUGAGAAUGGGACGGUAGGAAAAGCAAUUGGGCUCAGAAAAGCUUCAGAAUGGGAAAAAUGUAAAUAAAAAAUGGGGGAGAAAAAGAAAGGACAGAAGGGUUUCUUUUUCUCUUGAGAGCACUUGCAGAAGAAGAGAGAGGUUGAGUCAAGAUCUGCACAAUGCAGACGUGGUGUCACCCACCCCCAGAGCCAAAGCAGAAAGGUAGUGCUCCUGGUGUGAGCUUCAGACAGCUGCUGUUUGCCCCCUGUUGAAGUUUCAAAUGCACUGCUAUAUUAAAAAUGGUUCAUUUUAUUUAUUUAAUGUUUUAUGAAAAAGAGAAGUGGCAGCAAUAAGAAUCAAAUGCAAUUAUAUCUAUGUUUUAGGAAGGAAAAAUGUAGACUAUACGGCAACAUGGGUGCUGUGAACACCUAAUGCAUCAAGCUUGUUUGUAUGAAGAAAAUUAGCAUUAACUGUCUAAUAAUUCAACUAAUUCCCAUUGAAUUGAGGCUAUGAGUGGUCAUUCUGGCAUGAAGAAGGCCAACACUUCCAAUGGAGAGCUGCUGGGGAGAUGUUUUCUUGCUGUUCCAUGGAAGAAUCAAAGAAUCGUUCACGUUGGAAGAGACUUCUGAGAUUUCCAAGUCCAACAUCAACCCACCACAUCCCUGUGGUUCUGGGGCACCUCCAGGGAUGUACCUCCUCCACCUGUGCACCACCACUCCUUCUGAGAAGAUAUUUUUUCCUAGCAUAUCCAACUGUGGAUCCCAGAUCCACAACAAAACCCAAGGCUCUAAGGAAUUUAGGUGCAUGCAUGCAAUGGAUUUUUUUAUCCCAGAGGGCUUCUUCUAGCACCCAAAACAUGGAGGGUGGAUGGCUCUGCAGCCCUCGGUCUUGCUACACAGUGUUCUUUGCUGACAGAAGGAAGAGAGCUGGAGAUGACUGGGAGCUCUGUGCUGCCGAAAAGGAAGAGAACAGGAGAUGGAGGAGAGUUGCAUGGUGCUGAGUAAUACGGCCAGUGGUGCUGACAGGUUUGAUGUGUGCAUAGUUUGGUGGGUAUCCAGCUGAGCAGAGGAAUGAAUGUGCAUGCAUGUGGCUGUUGAAUAAGCUGCUUUUUGUUUGCAGGAAUGGCCUCUAUGACUGGAGAUACAGUCAGGAUGCUGGACAGUUGGAAUCCUGCAGCAAAAGGAGAGCUGUGGGAGUGCGCCAGGCUUUUAUCCAUUUGUAUUUUCUCUAUUAGUAAAAGGAGCUCUCUGGUACUCUCACAGAACAGCCUCAUUGAAUUCAAUAAGAAUCAGCAGGUCGUUCUUUCUUUAAACAACAACUCGACAUCGCAAGCACAAGAAGUGCAAGAUGCUGCUCGCUGGAUGGGGCCACGUAGUUUGUGUUCUGCUCUUCUCUCUGCUCACUUCUGCUUCUAAUCUAGGAGGCUUUGUUUUCCCGACAUCGUUUAAUCAAACGUAGAUCUAAUCAGUGCCAGAGCAUUAACAAGCGUGAGCCCCCGCGAUUCUCCGCAACCAUGCAAAACGUUGGAUCACAGCAACUUCCCGUGCUGCUCUUUCUGCAUCAGGUCCUGAAAUCCCCCAAUUACGUUUCGUACCAAGAAAUGAGUAAUGCUCAUUGCUAAGUCAUGUUAGCGGGGUGCUUCCAAGGCCCUGCCUCCCACUGCUGUGGUACGUGAAGCACGUGGAGAACAGAGCCAUGGCCAUGUGCAGGGCUGCUGGAUUCGGGAUUCACCCCUGCUUUCCUAUUGACCCCAUGGGAGGGCAUUAAUAAAAUAAUAAAUAAUGAUAAUGAAUGAGACAAUAGCAUGAGGAAAGCUCUCUCCACCUGGAUUAUUUUAGGUCCAUCGAGUCAUCUGCUAAUUGCCAGGUGCGAAGAGUGUUGUCUUCAAGCUUGGUUAGUUCCAUAUACAGGCAUGGAAUUCUUGCCCAAUCUUGAGAAGAAUUGGUGCUGGCUGCUGUCAGGGAAGGAAUGGGGUUGCACAGGGCAUUUAUCUGGCUGAAGAAUUUAUAUGGUCCUAACUUUCAUCCUGUUAGGAACUAGACCAAACAAAAUUUGGCCAAUCCUUCACCAAAAUAACAGGGAAUGGAAUGAGAGCAGGUUGAAGAAAACUAAUAUUUUUUCAGGGAAGAGUAAUUGAGCCUUGCUUGUUUUGGGUUACAUUUGUGGGUUUGUUUGUUGUAGUUGCUUUCUUUAAAAUACUGGCUUAACAGUCAAGAAUGAGGGUUGUAUAUAUGAGUCCAUCCAGUGGCUCCAGCUAUGGCAGCAGCAGGGCAAGUAGGCAUUGCCUUUCAAAGAUGUUAAACUUGCUGGGUUGCGCACAAGGGAUGCAACAACAACUAUUCAGGAAUCGAGGCUGACUACCGGUGCAUGGCUUCCACUGGGGUCUGCCAGGAAAAUGCAAUUCCUAAGGAAACCCCUGCUCUGCUGCAGCUUCCUGGUGUCCCCAACUGCACUAAUACUGUCGCAGGAGUGCUUCCAAAGGGCUGCAGCCUCACAGCGCUCUGCCUGACUCACCCCAGCAGCCUGAACUCCUGCAGCCCAUCCCUGAAGCGUUUAAGGGCUUUGCUGUUGUUUUUUGUUAUUAUUAAUAUUAUUGCAAUGCUUGUUCUGGCACAAAAACGCCUUUUCUAUUCUCUUCUCUGGCUCAGAAUUUUUGGUCAAAGUUUAAUUAAAUUUAGAGGAGCUGGAAAAACUGCAUAAUUUAAAAAGUAAAUGAAAGCAGUGGCUGUUGCUGAGGGGAGGGUGGGGGCCAGCCUGGCCACAGCCCUGGGGACGCAGUGGGGGGAAGGGGGCAGUGCAGAAAUGACCCUGGAGAUGUGGGUUUCCCUGGAUUUGUAGUAGAUGGCAGAGGGCUGUGGGGGCAAAGGCCUCCCCAUGGUGCUGGGCAGUGUAGGGAUGUUCAGAGUGCUCCAGGUAUCCAGCAGAAUGAGGCCCUUGUUUGUCCCUGCCCGUGCGGUCAAACGCUGUGGGUGGGAGCAGGGAGGGGGGGGAUCUGUUUUCCCAGGCUCCCUGCCAUCAGGAAUUACUGAGCUGCCAUGAAAUGAGAGGAAAUAUUUCAUUAUAGGCACAUGCGCUUCAAUUUCACAUGAUGGAAACUUCAGGAUCAGCUUUCUGCCCUCCCUCCCCUCUUCUCCUCUCACUGCCUCUGCCUUCAUCUGCGCUGCUGCGGGUGAUGCUGAGCAUCCCACUCCUCACUGCAGGGAGGGGAGCCCCACCUGCACCACGGGUAUGUGUCAAAAGCACAGCCCCAACCCUUAAGGCAGAGAAAGUAUGAGCACAAUAAUAAAAUAAAAGCUAUGGGGAGAAGGUGGAGGGCAAAAGUGAUCACUUUCCCUGCCCCCUCUCCCCUUACCUGAGGGCUGCAGUGAUGAAAUCCCUUCUCCCUGUGUAAGGAGGUAGCAGAAACGAGUGGCAGAUAUGGGAUAUCUCUAUUGGUGAUAUCCUUAUGGGAAUUUUUUUUUUUUAA